rnacentral:rRNA from 1 species
AACGAACGCUGGCGGCAUGCCUAACACAUGCAAGUCGAACGAGACCUUCGGGUCUAGUGGCGCACGGGUGCGUAACGCGUGGGAACCUGCCCUUAGGUUCGGAAUAACUCCCCGAAAGGGGUGCUAAUACCGGAUAAUGUCUUCGGACCAAAGAUUUAUCGCCUUUGGAUGUGCCCGCGUUGGAUUAGCUAGUUGGUAGGGUAAAAGCCUACCAAGGCGACGAUCCAUAGCUGGUUUGAGAGGAUGAUCAGCCACACUGGGACUGAGACACGGCCCAGACUCCUACGGGAAGCAGCAGUUGGGAAUAUUGGACAAUGGGCGAAAGCCUGAUCCAGCAAUGCCGCGUGAGUGAUGAAGGCAUUAGGGUUGUAAAGCUCUUUUACCCGGGAUGAUAAUGACAGUACCGGGAGAAUAAGCUCCGGCUAACUCCGUG